GACGUAGGGCGCGAGCGUUGUCCGGAUUUAUUGGGCGUAAAGAGCGUGUAGGCGGCCAGGCAGGUCUGCUGUGAAAACUCGAGGCUUAACCUCGAGCUGUCGGCGGAAACCAUCUGGCUAGAGUCCGGAAGAGGAGAAUGGAAUUCCCGGUGUAGCGGUGAAAUGCGCAGAUAUCGGGAAGAACACCCGUGGCGAAGGCGGUUCUCUGGGACGGUACUGACGCUGAGACGCGAAAGCGUGGGGAGCGAACAGG
rnacentral:rRNA from 1 species